UUGCCCUAGUAACGGCGAGUGAAGCGGCAACAGCUCAAAUUUGAAAUCUGGCUUCGGCCCGAGUUGUAAUUUGUAGAGGAAGCUUUUGGCACGGCACCUUCUGAGUCCCCUGGAACGGGGCGCCAUAGAGGGUGAGAGCCCCGUAUAGUUGGAUGCCUAGCCUCUGUAAAGCUCCUUCGACGAGUCGAGUAGUUUGGGAAUGCUGCUCAAAAUGGGAGGUAAAUUUCUUCUAAAGCUAAAUACCGGCCAGAGACCGAUAGCGCACAAGUAGAGUGAUCGAAAGAUGAAAAGCACUUUGAAAAGAGGGUUAAAUAGCACGUGAAAUUGUUGAAAGGGAAGCGCUUGUGACCAGACUUGCGCCGGGCUGAUCAUCCGGUGUUCUCACCGGUGCACUCUGCCCGGCUCAGGCCAGCAUCGGUUCUCGCGGGGGGACAAAGGCCCUGGGAACGUAGCUCCUCCGGGAGUGUUAUAGCCCAGGGCGCAAUGCCCUCGCGGGGACCGAGGCUCGCGCUCUGCAAGGAUGCUGGCGUAAUGGUCACCAGCGACCCGUCUUGAAACACGGACCAAGGAGUCAAGGUUUUGCGCGAGUGUUUGGGUGUAAAACCCGCACGCGUAAUGAAAGUGAACGUAGGUGAGAGCUUCGGCGCAUCAUCGACCGAUCCUGAUGUAUUCGGAUGGAUUUGAGUAGGAGCGUUAAGCCUUGGACCCGAAAGAUGGUGAACUAUGCUUGGAUAGGGUGAAGCCAGAGGAAACUCUGGUGGAGGCUCGCAGCGGUUCUGACGUGCAAAUCGAUCGUCAAAUCUGAGCAU
rnacentral:rRNA from 1 species